rnacentral:rRNA from 1 species
AGAGUUUGAUCAUGGCUCAGAUUGAACGCUGGCGGCAGGCCUAACACAUGCAAGUCGAACGGUAACAGGAAGCAGCUUGCUGCUUUGCUGACGAGUGGCGGACGGGUGAGUAAUGUCUGGGAAACUGCCUGAUGGAGGGGGAUAACUACUGGAAACGGUGGCUAAUACCGCAUAACGUCGCAAGACCAAAGAGGGGGACCUUCGGGCCUCUUGCCAUCAGAUGUGCCCAGAUGGGAUUAGCUUGUUGGUGAGGUAACGGCUCACCAAGGCGACGAUCCCUAGCUGGUCUGAGAGGAUGACCAGCCACACUGGAACUGAGACACGGUCCAGACUCCUACGGGAGGCAGCAGUGGGGAAUAUUGCACAAUGGGCGCAAGCCUGAUGCAGCCAUGCCGCGUGUAUGAAGAAGGCCUUCGGGUUGUAAAGUACUUUCAGCGGGGAGGAAGGUGUUGUGGUUAAUAACCGCAGCAAUUGACGUUACCCGCAGAAGAAGCACCGGCUAACUCCGUGCCAGCAGCCGCGGUAAUACGGAGGGUGCAAGCGUUAAUCGGAAUUACUGGGCGUAAAGCGCACGCAGGCGGUCUGUCAAGUCGGAUGUGAAAUCCCCGGGCUCAACCUGGGAACUGCAUUCGAAACUGGCAGGCUUGAGUCUUGUAGAGGGGGGUAGAAUUCCAGGUGUAGCGGUGAAAUGCGUAGAGAUCUGGAGGAAUACCGGUGGCGAAGGCGGCCCCCUGGACAAAGACUGACGCUCAGGUGCGAAAGCGUGGGGAGCAAACAGGAUUAGAUACCCUGGUAGUCCACGCCGUAAACGAUGUCUACUUGGAGGUUGUGCCCUUGAGGCGUGGCUUCCGGAGCUAACGCGUUAAGUAGACCGCCUGGGGAGUACGGCCGCAAGGUUAAAACUCAAAUGAAUUGACGGGGGCCCGCACAAGCGGUGGAGCAUGUGGUUUAAUUCGAUGCAACGCGAAGAACCUUACCUGGUCUUGACAUCCACAGAACAAUCCAGAGAUGGAUUUGUGCCUUCGGGAACUGUGAGACAGGUGCUGCAUGGCUGUCGUCAGCUCGUGUUGUGAAAUGUUGGGUUAAGUCCCGCAACGAGCGCAACCCUUAUCCUUUGUUGCCAGCGAUUAGGUCGGGAACUCAAAGGAGACUGCCAGUGAUAAACUGGAGGAAGGUGGGGAUGACGUCAAGUCAUCAUGGCCCUUACGACCAGGGCUACACACGUGCUACAAUGGCGCAUACAAAGAGAAGCGACCUCGCGAGAGCAAGCGGACCUCAUAAAGUGCGUCGUAGUCCGGAUUGGAGUCUGCAACUCGACUCCAUGAAGUCGGAAUCGCUAGUAAUCGUGGAUCAGAAUGCCACGGUGAAUACGUUCCCGGGCCUUGUACACACCGCCCGUCACACCAUGGGAGUGGGUUGCAAAAGAAGUAGGUAGCUUAACCUUCGGGAGGGCGCUUACCACUUUGUGAUUCAUGACUGGGGUGAAGUCGUAACAAGGUAACCGUAGGGGAACCUGCGGUUG